rnacentral:misc_RNA from 1 species
AAAAAAAAAAAAAAUCAAGCUUUCCAUCAAAAUAUCAAAUGACGACUCUUCUAGGAUCACUGCAAAUAAGCUUCCAUCAUCCCCGUACGUCAUUAUCAGCAAAGGCANNNNNNNUUCUUCCUUUUCCUCUAUCUGUGCUCUCAGUUCCAAAAAGCUUGGUUUCACAUCUUCGUUAUCACAGAAACACAGUUUCUUAAACCCACUCAUUUUGGAUAGCAAUGUUAAGUAUGUUGAAGUUAGACGAAGAAGAAGAAGCUCGGUUCGGAUGUCAUGGGACGGACCGCUCUCCUCUGUUAAAUUGAUAAUUCAAGGCAAAAACUUGGAGUUGACGGAUACAGUGAAAAAUCAUGUGGAAGAGAAGGUGGGCAAGGCAGUUCAAAAGCAUAGCCAUCUCGUCCAAGAAGUCGAUGUUAGGUUGUCUUUUAGAGGUGGAGAGUUGGGGAAAGGCCCAAGGAUUCGUAGAUGCGAGGUGACCUUGUUUACCAAGAAGCAUGGAGUGAUUCGGGCAGAGGAAGAUGCUGAGACAAUAUAUGCGAGUAUUGACUUGGUGUCAUCAAUCAUACAAAGAAAGUUGAGGAAGAUUAAGGAGAAGGAGUCUGACCGUGGCCGGCAUAUGAAGGGUUUCAACAGAUUGAAGGUGAGGGAGCCAGUGGCAGAAGCAGUGAAAGAUGAUGUAGAUGGAGUUCCCCAACAUGAGGAUGAGGACUAUAUUGAUGAGGUUGUUCGGACAAAAUAUUUUGACAUGCCACCUUUAACUGUCUCUGAAGCCAUUGAGCAGCA